AAAGGCUGACGUACUUCGAUAGCCCCCUCACCACGUUAUCCGCCAGAGAACUACUAGUGAAAACUUAAAACUCAAAGGACUUGGCGGUGUUUCAUUUCCACCUAAAGGAGCCUGUCCUAUAAUCGAUGCCCCCCGUUCCACCCAACCUUUACUUGCACAUUCAGCCUAUAUACCGCCUUUUUCAGCAAAC
rnacentral:rRNA from 1 species